GCUACACGGUUUAAAAAUUAAAUGAAUCAAAAAUAAAGCUUGAAACAUCAAAAAGUUAAGUAAUGGAGAAAGAAAGUUAAUAAAAAUUUUAAAAAGUACUGUAAAGGAAAAAACCAAAUAUAAAAAAAUUAGUUUAGUUUUGCGUACUUUUUGCAUCACGGCUUAGCAAGAAGUAACCUGAGAUUUCAGAUUCUCGAAAGUUAGUCGAGCUAUUUUUUUCUGGGUAAGUUAGGCCCAAGAAAGUAAAACAAACUACUAAAAAUGUAGCAAAAUUUUAGUAAAAGAGAAAAAUAGAAAUGAAAUUUUAUUCGUGCUAACGAUAGCUAGUUUUCUUGGAAGCGUAUAGGAGUACGGAAGUAAGAUCAGGCUAUAAAAAUACUAGCUUUUAUAGCCUGCCUUAUAUAAAAUUCUUUUAAGGAUAAGCUUAAAAGUAGAUAGUAGUAAAUAUCUUUAAAUCUGUGAUGUGAGCCUGAGAUUAGCUAACAUUUUAAACUUGUUAUAAAGUAAUAUUAAAAAACAAAAAAAUAAAUAUAUUUUUACUCUAGUUUAUACAGGGACAAAAAAUGAAACCAUUUAAUUUAUUAGCUUAUGCUAAGAUGAGUAUUAAAACUAAAAUAUACCUUAAGAGUUUAACUAUUUUAAUUCUUAUUAACUAGAGUUUUACCUAAACCUAAAUAAAAAGAAGGAACUCGGCAAAAUAAGUUGUUUCGCCUGUUUAUCAAAAACAUGGCUCUUGGUAGCAAAAAAAUGAAGAGUCGGACCUGCCCAGUGAAAAUUUUUAACGGCCGCGGUACUCUGUCCGUGCAAAGGUAGCAUAAUCAUUUGCCUUAUAAUUGAAGGCUUGUAUGAAUGGUUUAACGAGAGCAACACUGUCUCCUUUUUAAUUAAUAGAAUUUAACCUUCAGGUGAAGAGGCCUGAAUUAAAUUGAAGGACAAGAAGACCCUGUUGAGCUUAAAAGAAAGGUAGAAAGUAAGCUAUUAGCUAUAAAUGCACUACUACUAUAAACUUUUUGGUUGGGGCGACUAAGGAACAAAAAAAGCUUCUUUACACAAAUAAAUUUAUAAAUAGUGAUCCAGUAAAUCUGAUUAAAAGAAUUAGUUACCACAGGGAUAACAGCAUAAUCUCUCUUGAGAGGCCUAAUCGAAAGAGGGGGUUGUGACCUCGAUGUUGGACUAGAAUAUCCUAAAGGCGCAGAAGUCUUUGAAGGUUGGUCUGUUCGACCAUUAAAAUUCUACAUGAUCUGAGUUC
rnacentral:rRNA from 1 species